rnacentral:rRNA from 1 species
AGUGAACGCUGGCGGUAGGCCUAACACAUGCAAGUCGAACGGCAGCACAGUAAGAGCUUGCUCUUACGGGUGGCGAGUGGCGGACGGGUGAGGAAUACAUCGGAAUCUACUUUUUCGUGGGGGAUAACGUAGGGAAACUUACGCUAAUACCGCAUACGACCUACGGUUGAAAGCAGGGGAUCUUCGGACCUUGCGCGAUUGAGUGAGCCGAUGUCGGAUUAUCUAGUUGGCGGGGUAAAGGCCCACCAAGGCGACGAUCCGUAGCUGGUCUGAGAGGAUGAUCAGCCACACUGGAACUGAGACACGGUCCAUACUCCUACGGGAGGCAGCAGUGGGGAAUAUUGGACAAUGGGCGCAAGCCUGAUCCAGCCAUACCGCGUGGGUGAAGAAGGCCUUCGGGUUGUAAAGCCCUUUUGUUGGGAAAGAAAAGCAGCAGGUUAAUACCCCGCUGUUCUGACGGUACCCAAAGAAUAAGCACCGGCUAACUUCGUG